rnacentral:rRNA from 1 species
UACGGGGGGGGCAAGCGUUGUUCGGAAUUACUGGGCGUAAAGGGCGCGUAGGCGGCCUUCUAAGUCGGACGUGAAAUCCCUCGGCUCAACCGAGGAACUGCGUCCGAUACUGAAAGGCUUGAAUCCGGGAGAGGGAUGUGGAAUUCCAGGUGUAGCGGUGAAAUGCGUAGAUAUCUGGAGGAACACCGAUGGCGAAGGCAGCCCCCUGGGCUAACACUGACGCUGAUGCACGAAAGCGUGGGGAGCAAACAGG